CAUGUUUUAUAUUAUAUAUUUUUUGUAAUGCCUCACUAAUAUUUUUCAUAAUAUAAUUUUGGUUUAAUUAUUUAAUCUAAGUUUGGCCGGUUAAUCGUAGUUAACAGAUCCUUUAGAGUGCCUAAUCCCUUCCCUUUAGGAUAAUUAGAAUCCCUACCUAGAAUUUUAGGUUACGUAGACCUUAAAAUGAAGUCUUUAAUUACUUUAAUCACAUAGUUUAAAAUAAGUGUCCUAAUGCACCGAAGAACUAAUUAGGCGGCGACUUCUUCAAUUUAAUCAGAAGUUUUUCAAUAUGUUGUAAUACCUCGGUUUGACCUGUGUUAAAAUGGGGUAUGACAUUCUUAACAUUCAAAACAUAUGACACCAAUCUGCGAAAUCUCUAACAAUACAAGAACUAACAUAUGUAGUAAAACUAGGACAAGGCCCCCAAUCGAACCAUGAAUCAAAAUAAAAUAACAAUAACUCAUAACUAGGCCUUCCAAAAUAAGGGAGGCUCACAAACUGCAACUUCUGACCAAACAACUCUACUCCUUAAUGGGACCCCGGAAUUGUGCCUUAGAUCCUGAAAUAUAGGAGGUCAAUACAGAUAUACUGGUACGCAGAGCAAUCCAAAAUAAUGUAUUUUAUACAAUAUAAGUGAUAGCAAUUUAUAAAAUGGUUUACAUACCCUAUAUGAAAAUACAUGACCAUAAUUUGAUAAAUUUCAAAACACUUUCUUGAGAUAAAGCAGGGCUCCUAACCAUGUCCCAAUUUGGGACGACAUGAAUCAAGGUACACAAGAUCACAAAGCAUGAUACCAAUAAUCCCGUGUCGGUAAAUCACGAUUUCUAGCGUUGAGUAUACCAACUCGUACUUUCUUCGGGUAACCAUCUAACUCUCUUUAAGCCCACUUUUAACCUUUUCAAAGCAUGUAUAUUUCUGAAUUCAAAAUCUGAGUGAAAUAUGAAUUUUUAGUCUAUUCUGAAUCUGCUAUGGCAUUCAUCUGUUUGGUAUAAUCAUACCAAGAUUUGCAAGUCAUAGCUCUAAUCCAUAAAAUAUCAUGUUACAAUUCUUUCAUUCAAAAUAUAAUGUUUGGACCACCAAAUCAUUCAAAUAGUACAAGAGAACUCAUAUUUCCAAAACAUACAUCAAACUAUGAAAAAAUCCUCUUUUUUCACCAUUUCAACAAAUGGUGGUUAAUUUCUCAAAAUAAUCAUUCAAUUCUUUCGAUUAUCAAAUUCUACCUUUACAAACAAGAAAUAUCCCUCUCUUCAAUUCACAAUCGAUAUAAAAUUUAUAAUUCAUAGUAAAACUCUUGGUUCAUGCUUUAUGAUAUGCGAUUGAGUAAUCCAUGAUUUGUAAAUCAAGAAGUAACACCAUAAGAGGGAAAUUCGUUAUUCUGCUCUCAAUUUAUACUUUUCAAAACAUUGAACGCAUACACACACACAAACAUAUAUAUAUAUAUAUAUAUAUAUAUACAUAAACAAAACUCAAAUUUUUUGGGAAGGCCUGAAGACCAAAGCAUUAUCAUCAAAAGGGUUCACCAUGCAUGUGUUAUUGUAAAUUCAAACCCUUCCUAAGUAUAUGAAUUUUCUACAUUCAAAACCUUAUUAAAAAGAUUCACCAUGCCCAUAUAUUUUAGGAAAAUCCUACGUACCUUAGAUUACUUAAUUUGAAGAAUAAGACUCGAAUCUUGACUCGUUUCUUGGAAAUAUUGAACUUAAAGAUGGAUUCUUGAUCUUUGGGAGGGAGGUUAGGAUUUUGUUAUUGAUAAAUUUGAGUGAAUUUGGGCAUAUUAUGCCCAAAAGACAUUUUAAUUCAUUGUGUACACGACUUGGGUUUGUAGGGAAAAGACAAAACUGUCCCUCAAAAUUAGAACUUUCAGUAGAAAUUCUGUUUUUGAGGCUUACUGUUGAGCGGUAUUGGUUCCACUGCUAUAGGCACCACUAGCGGUGUAAUUGCGGUGACCUACUAUUUUAAACAAUCCCAAUUUUGAGGUUUACCGCUGAACGGUAUUGGUUCCACCGCUAUAGAACCGCCUAGCGGUGUAAUCACGACAACUUACUACUUCACACGAUAAAUGCCAUAACUUUUCACCCGGGUAUCGGAUUUAGGCGAAAUUGGUAUGGUUGAAAAGAUAAUUCAAAUAUCUAUAAUUUUGUGGGUAUUGAGAUGAAAAAUUCCACAUACAUCAAAAUUUAUACACGUUCAAGGUUCAAAGUUGAUCCUUGUUGAAUGGAAUACCAAACUUUGGACAAUUCAAAGGAUCUUAGUUCAACUUUGUUCAAAGUGACUUCCAUGAAUAUUUUUCACCUCAUAAUCACUAUACACAGUAGGCUAAUGAUCAUGACAAAUGAAUUUAAAUAUGAGUCAUGGGAUUAAAGUUUACACAUGUAGGAACGAUGGUCUGAUUUCAAACUCAAAAAUAUGCGGGGUAUUUCAUUAUAUCCCCCUUGGGAUCAUUUGUCCCCAAAUGUUGGGUAGGAACUUGAUGGAGCUCUAAAGGAAUGGAAUAAGGAACGUAAUCUCACAUUGAAUAUUUUUCCUCAACAAAAUAUGUAAAGGCAUCAAAUAAGUUUCAUAAUAACCCCUAGUGAAACGUGUAAGCACAAAGCGUGGGGUAAUGAGACUUUACAUAGGGAUAACCUUGCAUGUGAGUUUUAUGAAUCAUAAUCAUCACAACACAAGGCAUGAGUUGAUUUGGUGAUAAUAGGCCUGAUUUACAUUGGUACAAUUAUGAAAUGAGAUUUCAUGGAAGAUAGGGAUAGAAGCAUUCUCCACCUUUCAUGAUGCAACGAAUAUACUUAAACUUAAAGACCCUACUCGGCUAUGCCCCAACAUUAACAACAUACAUUUUCCUUUCCAUCUUACAUUUCUACCUUCACACAUCUAAACACAAGAGUUUGAGUCCCACUGCAUGGUACUUCUAGGUUGAAGCCUAACUCAGAGAAAAGAGGUGCUAGUUCAAGCUAUGGGACUCAAUCUAAGAAUAUUACUUCACCUUAUCACUACAAUCAAACACCAUCCGAUUUUAAUUUAGGGAAUACUAACCACAUAGUACAUGUGUUGUGUUUUCAUCAAUCACAACAUUCAAGCCUAUUAUUACUACACCUACUUCAUGAAUUUCCCCCACUAAGACCAGUAAAUUCAAUCUCUUUUACAAAGAUUUUCGCCAUACAUCUCCUCUUCAUAAUGAAAGUCCAUCCCCUUCUUUCCCCCAUCAUCAAUAACCUUAGAUAAAGAGAUCAAAUCAAAAUUUUCAUAUUCAAGAACAUCUACUCCCCCCUUCCCAAGUCAGUACUACUCUUCCAUAACAACUAUCAUACUAUCAUUCGGAGGGUCAUUGAGGGACCUGAACAUAUGCAUUAAGAAAAGGAGUAACAUUAUUCAAUUAUAACAAAUACUUAUUGCAAUACUCAAGGUGGGAUAUGAGAUGAAAAUAAAAUAUAAUAGACACGAAGUGCUCCAUAUAUAAAGUGCCUGGAUCAUAAACAGAGAGUCAUUCGGACGUAAACUUACACAACAAGAGUCCCUAGGAAUGGGCAUAGUGAGAAACAUAUGAGCAUAUAUCAUGAGAGGUAUAAUAUAAAGACGGAACUCAUGGGUUCAAUGACUGAGAAAAGGAUUGCCACCUGAAGCUAUUGCUUCUUAUUUUUCGAGCUGAGACAGUCAUGAAUUUGCAUAAACUUUAUCAUUUUUAGUAAUCCGAAUAUAAAAUGAAUCAAUAACAUAGGAAAACAUAGUUUCUUAGAACCUAAUUCGGCACAUGGAUUUAUGGAUCAUGAAUAUCAUAACAUAGGGCUUGAAUACAUGAAAGAUUGGAUUUACUGAGACAUUGUUUCUUCUAGUUUGGAGGUCGGAACAUUAUGUAAGUUUCAUAAAGAACUCAAACCUUAGACAUAGGCAGAACUUGAAUACAUAAGACAUUGGUAGAAUGAACUCUUAAACUGAAGUAGGAGGAAUAUGCUUGAAUAGGAAUAGGUUCAUCAUGACUCUUCCUUAAACUUGCCACAAUGAGAAAAUUCGGGAACUACCUUAACUCACCAUCUCCCCCUUAGAUCAAGUCACAAUCCUAGACUUGAGAACAUAACCUCUCAUCAAUCUAUAGCCAAAGUUCUCAAUACAAUGGGGGUAUCAGUAUACAAAUGAAUACAAACUUCCCUCGGUAAUUUUUAAUAAAAACACAGUAACUUCUUUCUAGGACAUCCCCCUUCAGGGAAACUAAUCAUAACUUUCUCCAACCCCUAAAGUCAUCAACUUAUGACUAACAUUACCAUGGGCAUGGACAUCAAUGCUUCAAAACACUUAACACUCCAUCUUCAACUCCUUAGAAAACUAACAUUACACCUCCAAUCACAUAACUUACAACUCAACAAAAUUUGUAAAACUAUACCAAAGGUGCAUAUUGCCUACUUAUAUUUCCUCAAUUCAACUCUAAAGAACACCCUACAAUAACUUCCCAGACUUCUCCAUACUACAAAAGUCGAGAACGAAAACUAGGUACACAAAACACUUAUACACAUAAAACUUUACCUAACAACAUACUACCUGGGGGUGAAACUUAUUCUUAUAUACUUACGCCCUUAUCCGCUUAAUGACUCAACCAUAAUUCAUCAUUCUAACACUAGUCCCAUGUAUAUAUAUAUAUAUAUAUCAUAAUUACCUAAUCCUUUUCCUAAAAGUUACAAACUUAGGCUAUUGCACACAUCAAAUCAAGCCUACUGCUUACUCCUACAAAACGAGCAUCAUUAACCUUAAGCUACUAUCCUCAUCACCACAAUCCAGAUUUAAAGUUCAAGUCUAUUGUCAAACAGCAAUAAUGUAACACCGAUAAAGCAUGUCAUAUACUAUACUAGUCCAUCAAAUAGAAAUAUCAACCUAAGUCUCUUACUUCACUUAACUACCGCCCAUAAGUUCAUCCUCUCUACAACACUACUACACACCAUAAUAGGUAUAGUCAAUCUUAAUCCUAUAAUAUGACCCAUUACGACCUUAUCAACAUGCUCUACUUCCUCAUAUUAAAUUUACUUACCCAAGCAUACAUUUAGACUACCUUCAAAUUUCAUUUACACCAAUGACUCUUUAGCCAUAACUUACUGACAAAUCUACCCUUUUCCAUUCACAACCUUUAAAUAAUUUCUACAACCACCAUAACUAUCCAUUUGAGAUCUUUCUCUGUUUUGAAUAACUAAUAAUCACAGCCAAACACUUCCUCCAUAAACUACCAUACACUCUAAAUAUUUUGCUACAACAUUAGCCAAUCACCAUAGAAGAGCAACCCACCCCUUAGUGAAGGGUUAUACAAUUCAAACUACUUAUUUAUGCAAAAGUCACCCUUACCCUGACUUUUAACCUUGUGUCUUUAUAUCACUAACUUUAGGAUCAUAUUACUACCAAUAGGGUAUGGCACCUUAACAUAUACUACUACUCAAGUAGAAAUAUUGUUCCAACAUUCUAACAUACAUCACUACCCUUUAGCAUGUCAUCUCUAACAAGAAUUUUGAAAGGGAUUGAAUACACUUCAUACCUCAGACUCAAACGUACGAUUGAUGUAGAUAGGGGUAUAGGCUUAAAUCAAUCCAGUUUAAAGCACUUAUGGACUCCUCUCAAUUCCUUGUGAAAUUUCAUACUCUUUUAUAACUCAAUCCGGAGGGACCACCUUAUUUAGACUCUAAGAUUCUGCACUUGAAUCGAAUCGACAAUGAGACAUAAUUAAUAAAACCAGAGUAAAGAAAGAAUUUCUAUAAAUUCCAAAUGGACAACAUAAUGCACGAUCUAGUAGCCUAGUAGCUUUUUCCUUAUAAGUGUGGCGCGCUACACACCCAUAAAUAAGACUCUACCUGAUGCGAUUUCGCAGACACCUUGGGAUCAUGAAUCGUGCUCUAAUACCAAGUUUUUCAUGACCCGAGCUGGGGCCUUGGCCACGAUGAGCAUCCCAAACCAUGAAGUCCUGAGUGCUCUUUUCUAUCUGGCAAUCAUGCAUACCAUUCAUAUACUAUAAAGACAUGCGGAAAAUAUAAUAAGAUGGAAACAUGGUCAAUCUCUUAGUUCAACAGAGCAAUUUCAAAGGGAGUUCUUAACAUUCAAACAACAUGACACCAGUGUACGAAAUCUCUAACAAUACAAGAACCAAUAUACGUAAUAAAAUUGGGAAAAUACCCAAGUCGGACCAUGAAUCAAAAUAAAAUAACAAUAACUCAUAACUAGGCCUUCCGAAAUAAGGGAGGCUCGCCAACUUCUGACCAAAUAACUCUACUACUUAAUGGGACCCUGGGACUGUGCCUCAGAUCUUGAAAUAUAAGGGUCAAUACAGAUGUACUGGUACACAGAUCAAUCCAAAAUAAUGUAUUUUAUACAACAUAAGUGAGAGCAAUUUAUAAAAUAGUUUACAUACCAUAUAUGAAAACACAUGGACAUAAUUUGAUAAAUUUCAAAAAACUUUCUUGAGAUCAUGACUCUACUCUCUAUUUGUGUUCUGAGCUAGAUGAUACACCCUACAAUCUAUAAUUUCAUAAGCUAUAUGGAAUCCGCCCUUUACUCGACGGCCAAGCCCCCAAUCUAUGUUUGCCACAAGGAUUGGAGUAUCUAUAAGGGGGACAUGCAAUAUCACAAAGCAUGGUGCCAAAAUUCUCAAUCAAAUCAAUAUGUCAAGGUAUUGCGAAAGAUCACAAAGCAAGGCUCCUAACCAUGGUCGUAAUUUUGGAUGACAUAAAUCAAGGUACACAAGAUAACAAAGCAUGGUACCAAUAAUCCCGUGUCGGCAAAUCACGAUUUCUAGCAUUGAGUCUUUCAACUCGUACUUUCUUCGGGUAACCAUCUAACUUUCUUUAAGCCCAUUUUUAACCUUUUCAAAGCAUGUAUCUUUCUGAAUUCAAAAUCUAAGUGAAAUAUGUAUUUUUAGUUUGUUCUAAAUCUGCUAUGGUAUUCAUCUGUUUGGUAUCAUCAUACCAUGACUUGCAAGUCAUAUCUCUAAGCCAUAAAAUAUCAUGAUACAAUCCUUUCAUUAAAAACAUAAUGUUUGGACCACCAAAUCAGUCAAAUGGUACAACAGAACUCAUAUUUCCAAAACAUACAUCAAACUAUGCAAAAAUUCUCUCUUUUCAACAUUCAACACAUGGUGGUCAAUUUCGUAAAAUAAUCAUUCAAUUCUUUUGAUUAUCACAUUCAGCCUUUACAAAAUAGAAAUAUCUCUCUCUUCAAUUCACAAUCAACAUAAAAUUCAUAAUUGAUAGUAAAACCCUUGGUUCAUGCUUUAAGAUAUGCAAUUGAGUAAUCCAUGACUUGUCAAUCAAGAAGUAACACCAUGAGAGGGAAAUUCAUCAUUCAUGCUAAUUUAUACUUUUCGAAACAUUGAACGCAUAUAUAUAUAUACAUAUAUAUAUACACACAUAAACAAAAAUCAAAUUUUUGGGGAAGGCCUCAAGACCAAAGCAUUAUCAUCAAAAGGGUUCACUAUGCAUGUGUUAUUGUAAAUUUAAACCCUUUCUAAGUAUAUGAAUUUUCAACAUUCAAAACCUUAUUAAAAAGAUUUCACCAUGCCCAUGUAGUUUAGGAAAACUCCACAUACCUUAGAUUACUUAGUUUGAAGAAUAGGACUCGAAUCUUGACUCGUUUCAUAGAAAUCUUGAACUUAAAUAUGGAUUCUUGAUCUUUGGGAGGGAGGUUAGGGUUUUAUUUUUGAUAAAUUUGAGUGAAUUUGGGCAUAUUAUUCCAAAAAGACAUUUCAAUUCAUUCUUUACAUGACUUGGGUUUGUNNNNNNNNNNNNNNNNNAAAAGACAAAACUGUCCCUCAGAAUUAGAAGUUUUAGCAGAAAUUUUGAUUUCGAGGCUCGCCACUGAGCGGUAUUGGUCCCACAUCUAUAGGCACCGCUAAGUGGUGUAAUUAUGGUGAUCUACUAUUUUUGACAAUUCCAAUUUUGAGGUUUACCGUUGAGUGGUAUUGGUUCCACCGCUAUAGCACCGCCGAGCUGUGUAAUCACGACAGCUUAUUGCCUCACAUAAAAAUGCUAUAAAUUUUCACCCAUGUAUCGGAUUUAUGUAAAAUCGGUAUGGUUGGAAAGAUAAUUCAAUUAUGUACAAUUUGGUGGGUCUUGAGCUGAAAAAUUCUACAUACAUCAAAAGUUAUACACAUUCAAAAUUGACCCUUGUAGAAUCGACUACCAAACUUUGGACGAUUCAAAGGAUCUUAGUUCAACUUUGUUCUAAGUGACUUCCAUGAAAAUUUUUCAUCUCAUAAUCACUUAACAUACUAGGAUAGUGAUCAUGGCCCAUGUAUUUAAAUAUGAGUCAUGAGAUUAAAGUUUACACACGUAGGAACGAUGAUUCAAUUUCUAGCUCAAAAAAAUUUGGGGUGUUACAAUUAGAGUGAGCGAUAUUUUAGUAAGGUGGUGUCAAAAGAGGGUUAUUUCUUUUGAGUGUGUAGCAGUCACUUUGAGUAUUGAGAAUUGAUUUUUUUAUCCGAAAGCAUUAUUUAAAUUGAGUUGGACUUAGUUUGUGAUGUGUUCUUUUGUUACUAUAGGUAUAGUGAAAUUUCUUUCAAUUCAUAUCUCUGCAAAAUUCAAAAAAGACGAUCUGUAGAAUUGCAUUUUUUUUUGUAUGAAGAAGGAUAUUUAUACUGAUUCAGUAUUGAGACAUUGAGAAUUCUUUUUUCCUUUUUUUCAAAAGCAUUAUUUAAUUGGAGUUGGACUUAAUUUGAUGUGUUCUUUUGUUAUACUAUAGGUAUAAUGAAUUUGCUUUUGAUUGAGCUGGCUCUGCAGAAAGCCGUAAAAGGUGACCUAUAGAAUUAUAUUUGUUGUGUAAGAACGAUAUUUAUACUGAUUUAGUACGUCGACAUUGAGUUUGUUUUCUGAAAGCAUUAUUUAAUAGAUUUAACUGGAGUUUGACUUAGUUUGUGAUGUGUUCUUUUGUCAUACUAUAAGUAUAAUGAAUUGGCUUUUGAUUGAUUCGUCUGUGUAAAAGGCAAGAAAGACGACUGUAGAAUUUCAUUGAUUUGUUAUGUAAGAAGAAUGAUAUUCAUACUGAUUCAGUACGUCUGUCUACAUUGGGGAGGCUCUCACACUAAUGUGCACAGUGAUUAGGAGUUGUACCUUGAAGAAGAACAUUUACAUUGUGGAAAGUUUUGGAGUAGUGAAUGAAAGGGUUUUUGUUAGAUUAUGGAUCAUGGGUCACCCAUGUGGACUGACCCGACUCGACCCUGACCCGAACCAACCCAUUUCUUUGUCAGAUUGAAUUUAAUACAAAAGAAAAAGGGGGGACAGUUACAAAGUAACUGUUCCCGCCCCAAAAAUACUUGCUAUAAGUUCUUAUUUAUCCUUCUGACAAGAGGAGGACACAGGACACAGAAAAGGGACAAAACAAAGAACAUAAAAAACACUAGAAACAAGGCUUUUAGUUUGUGAAUAACAUUCCGUAUCUAAGAGAAACAAAAUCGACUUUGAUUAAGAUCCUAUCGGAAGCAAAAAUCAAGAUCCGGUGCAAAUUCUAAGGUACACAACUUAUUUUUUUUCUCCGAAAUAACUUUUAUUGGCAUCAGAGCCAUGUUAAAUUGCUCCGUUUUGAAUGUUUUUGGUGUCGAGUUUAAGUUUAACUCUUCCUAUUAUUGAAAAUGGACAUACCUGUUAGAAAGAUAGCAGAACCGGUUGUAGAUCGAGAUUUUGGUCCUGACAAAAAUCGGAUUAAUAGCCUUCCAAUCUGUCAGACGCGCUACAUGGAUCAACAAUUUUUUUUCUCUUCUAUUAAAGAACAGAGAGAUUUUCUUUUGUAAAUUAAAAAAAAAAAAAGGAAAAAGGAUAGAAGAAGAAGUAGCAUAACAAGAUCUAUUUUCAUGAUUAAAUAGAUCUGUGCAAAAAGAGUUUCUUCCAUAUCCUUCAAUUUUUUUUUUUGAGAAAUAAUGAAGAGUUCUGGUUGUUUGCUUUUGAUUUGAGAAGAAAAGAGAAGUAAGAGGAGUUAGUGCGUGUGUUUUGUAAAAGCGCGUACAAAGCAAUUCUAUGGAAUUGUUAAGGAAGUGCUGUACAACUUGUAAAUGAAUAAUUUUAUGGUGUGAUUUUAAAUAUAAAAUAAUAUAAUCGGAUGGGCUUCUGUGGUA
rnacentral:lncRNA from 1 species